AUGUUUAGCACUGCUUUAUGCCCUGAUAAUAUUUGGCAGGCCUACUCUUGGUGUUUUACAUUCCUACCUGAGGGGGAGAAGUUCUAUACAGCAGGGAUCGCUGCUGUAUGAUGGGCGAUCUGGUCGUGUCGCAACAGGGCCACCUUUGAGUUCAAACCUCUUACGAGCCCGUUUGAAUGUAUUUUCUCUACCUGUGCCUUAAUUUGCUAUUGGGCAGGAAUGAUGAAGCAGGAUGACGCGACUGCCAUGAGGGACGGCGCGAAGAUGCUGAAGGAGAAUGCUUUGAUGAUGAGGAGGAUUUGUGUUGCGAUACGUGAAGAGGCGACCUGUUGA
rnacentral:rRNA from 1 species